AAUCAACGCUGGCGGCGUGCCUAACACAUGCAAGUCGAACGAGAAAGUGGAGCAAUCCACAAGUAAAGUGGCGCACGGGUGAGUAACACGUGACUAACCUACCCUUGAGUGGGGGAUAACCUAGGGAAACCUGGGCUAAUACCGCAUAAUACCUAUGGGUCAAAGGAGCAAUUCGCUUUUGGAGGGGGUCGCGGCAGAUUAGUUAGUUGGCAGGGUAAUGGCCUACCAAGACGAUGACUGUAUCCGGCCUGAGAGGGCGCACGGACACACUGGAACUGAAACACGGUCCAGACUCCUACGGGAGGCAGCAGUGGGGAAUUUUGCGCAAUGGGGGAAACCCUGACGCAGCAACGCCGCGUGGAGGAUGAAGACCCUUGGGUCGUAAACUCCUUUUCGAUCGGGACGAUAAUGACGGUACCGGAAGAAGAGCCCCGGCUAACUUCGUGCCAGCAGCCGCCGUAAC
rnacentral:rRNA from 1 species